CCGCCUGCAGGACAGACAGACAGACCGCUCGGCAUGAGCCCGGCACAAGGCAGGGAGCCAGGGGCUGCCGAACCCAGCCUGUCUGGGCAGGGAAGACGGAAGAGCACCCACCUGCUGCCCCAGAACAGACCGCCCGUCCCAGCCAGCACGGGGAGUCUGGCCAGGACCCCACCGCUACCACCCAGCAGGUUUCCACUCCCCAGGGCAACGGGCUCAACCCUGCCCCAGUACCAAGCAGCAGGCGGGGAGGCGGGCCACUCGCCCCGCAGCAGGGGCUGCGCUCUCUCGAGGCAUCAGGCACAGCUGCAGUGCUGCACAGCUGGACGGGCACUGCACCUCUCCAGCCUGGCCACGGGGCGUCGCUGCGAGCCACGGCUGCCGGCUAGGCUGGCCCUGCCGCGCAGGAUUCCCCACCCUCCGCCUCUCCCUUAGUGCUGAGGACACGGAGGGGGAGGACGGAGGGGCCAUGGGGCACAGAGCUGGUGUCUCGAAGCUGAGGCAACCAGACGAGGAGCAAAACGGUACGAGGAGAUACUAGAGUCACUGACGUCCAUGUCAGGAAGGACCACAAUACCGGUGCCCACUGUGCCCUGUAUAAGGCAAGGCAACUGCCCCGGGCUGAGCCCAAGCAGGUCCGUUACAGCAGCAUUUCUCGACCCAUGGGUCACAACAAUAUUUCAAAGGGUUGCGAGCAAGUGCCAUAAAAAUGCACGAAAGCAUGGGUUUUCCCUUGCAGGCUGGCAGCGCCCCAGUGUGCAAGGGGCUGCUUGGGACGCGGUGGUCAGCAUGCAGCCAGGCAGGAUGACGGGAGCAGCCCCAAUAGCCAGAUGAAGGUGUCCCAUCCCACGGGACAGUGCUGCCAGGAGUACACGACCUGCUUCCAACUGGCCAAACAGCCCAAUGGCACGUGCCCCGGGGAGCAUUACAGAGGUGGAGCGAGCGGCGCCUGGAGCAAGGAAGGGGCAGGCAGAGGCAAGAGGCAGCCUGACGGAGGGGUCAGACAGCGGUGCCGGAGCAAACUGACAGUUGCUAGUUCUAACCAGGGGCAUAGGUUUCUGGACCAACUGUAUUGUUGGGAAACCUGUUUGACAAGUGCCGAGCACAAAACACCCACCACCUUCACUUCGGUGGCUCCACGCCCCAAAGCUGGUUCAGCAUCUCUCCUCGGUAUAGUCAGUCCAAUAAAAGUAUCACAAAAACCUCUUGCCUCUCCACGUUUCCUGGACUGCCCAGGCUACAACAACGCUCUGACCCUACUACGUCUAACCCGUACCCAGACAAGUUGUGUGGCAGUAACCUCGCGAAUCCUCCGAAUGCGCCAGGGGAUUCUUAGGCAAACACCUAAGGGGGGGUCGGACUCGAUGAUCUAUUGAGGUCCCUUCAGACCCUAACAUCUAUGAACACCUAGUUAAUACCGUUUUGACUUGCAAAAAAAAUGCGGACAAGGUCCAAAUAAAUAAAAUAAAUGCUAAAUAAAUUCUAUUUUAAAAGAAUAAAAAUAUGCUAGAGACACUA